GGGACAAAAAAAUGAAGUCAAACGACUUAACUCAUUCUUUUAUAUUGAGAGCGGUUAGUGGCGGACUGGUGAGCCAUUUAAAAGGAACCUGCCUUUUAGAGGGGAAUAACAAUGACCUAUCAUUGCUAAUACCGCAUAUGCCAUAAUUAUCACAUGAUAAUAGUGGGAAAGGAGCAAUUCGCUAAAAGAUGGCCUUGCGUCUGAUUAGAUAGUUGGUAAGGUAACGGCUUACCAAGUCGACGAUCAGUAGCCGGACUGAGAGGUUGAACGGCCACAUUGGGACUGAGAUACGGCCCAGACUCCUACGGGAGGCAGCAGUCGGGAAUAUUGCGCAAUGGAGGAAACUCUGACGCAGUGACGCCGCGUAUAGGAAGAAGGUUUUCGGAUUGUAAACUAUUGUCGUUAGGGAAGAGAAAGGACAGUACCUAAGGAGGAAGCUCCGGCUAACUACGUGCCAGCAGCCGCGGUAAUACGUAGGGAGCGAGCGUUAACCGGAAUUAUUGGGUGUAAAGGGUGCGUAGACGGGAAAGCAAGUUAGUUGUGAAAUCCCUCGGCUUAACUGAGGAACUGCAACUAAAACUACUUUUCUUGAGUGCAGGAGAGGUAAGUGGAAUUCCUAGUGUAGCGGUGAAAUGCGUAGAUAUUAGGAGGAACACCAGUGGCGAAGGCGACUUACUGGACUGUAACUGACGUUGAGGCACGAAAGUGUGGGGAGCAAACAGGAUUAAAUACCCUGGAAUUCCACACCGU
rnacentral:rRNA from 1 species